UAGUAUUUUCAAUCUGUUGUAGUUCCU
rnacentral:piRNA from 1 species